GCGCCGGUGGUGUAAGGCGAACAUCUGCCCGGAAAGCAGAAGAUGCGGGUUCGAGUCCCGCCUGGCGCA
rnacentral:tRNA from 1 species